rnacentral:rRNA from 1 species
GUGUCGUGAGAUGUUGGGUUAAGUCCCGCAACGAGCGCAACCCCUAUAACUAGUUGCCAGCAUUGAGAUGGGGACUCUAGUUAGACUGCCGGUGACAAACCGGAGGAAGGUGGGGAUGACGUCAAAUCAUCAUGCCCCUUAUGACCUGGGCUACACACGUGCUACAAUGGAUGGUACAACGAGCAGCGAACUCGCGAGGGUAAGCGAAUCUCUAAAAGCCAUUCUCAGUUCGGAUUGUAGUCUGCAACUCGACUACAUGAAGCCGGAAUCGCUAGUAAUCGCGGAUCAGCACGCCGCGGUGAAUA